UGAUAGCCUGCGAAAAGCUCCGGGGAGGCGGCAAAUAUCCUUUGAUCCGGAGAUGUCUGAAUGGGGGAACCCACCUACUUUAAGGUAGGUAUUGCAACAUGAAUACAUAGUGUUGCAAGGCGAACGAGGGGAAGUGAAACAUCUCAGUACCCUUAGGAAAAGAAAUCAAUUGAGAUUCCCUCAGUAGCGGCGAGCGAACGGGGAUCAGCCCAUUAAGUUAUGUGUGUUUUAGUGGAACGCUCUGGGAAGUGCGAACGUAGAGGGUGAUAUUCCCGUACACGAAAGGGCACACAUAAUGAUGACGAGUAGGGCGAGGCACGUGAAACCUUGUCUGAAUAUGGGGGGACCAUCCUCCAAGGCUAAAUACUCCUGACUGACCGAUAGUGAACCAGUACCGUGAGGGAAAGGCGAAAAGAACCCCUGUGAGGGGAGUGAAAUAGAUCCUGAAACCGCAUGCAUACAAGCAGUGGGAGCACCUUCGUGGUGUGACUGCGUACCUUUUGUAUAAUGGGU
rnacentral:rRNA from 1 species